rnacentral:lncRNA from 1 species
ACAGCUCACACAGGGAAAGGGGAAAACAGCAACCUCUUGAGCUGGAGCCUUAGGCUAGAAAAGAUCACUGAUUACCCACCUGUUCCCCCUGGAUACUAGGGCUUCAAUCCAGAAGGUGCUGUGAUGAAGUGGCUUCAGCAAAAUAUUACCUGAGACAUCCUGAUCCAUUAUGAGAACGGCAGCAGCAGGAUUUGGCCUGGGGAUGGAACAAAGGGACCCCCUGCUGUAGAGCAAGCAGUUAAUUUGGAGUCCCUUACCAGAAACG